UUUGCGGCAAGCCUAACACAUGCAAGUCGAACGGAUGAUUAUUUUAUAGCUUUGGCUGUAAAAUAAUUAUUAGUGGCAGACGGGUGAGUAAUGCGUAGGAAUCUACCUAGUAGUAUGGAAUAGCCAUUAGAAAUGAUGGGUAAUACUGUAUAAUCCCUGCGGGGGAAAGAUUUAUCGCUAUUAGAUGAGCCUACGUUAGAUUAGCUAGUUGGUAAGGUAAUGGCUUACCAAGGCUAUGAUCUAUAGCUGGUCUGAGAGGAUGAUCAGCCACACUGGAACUGAGAUACGGUCCAGACUCCUACGGGAGGCAGCAGUGGGGAAUAUUGGACAAUGGGCGAAAGCCUGAUCCAGCUAUGCCGCAUGAGUGAAGAAGGCCUUCGGGUUGUAAAACUCUUUCAAUAGGGAAGAUAAUGACGGUACCUAUAGAAGAAGUCCCGGCAAACUCUGUGCCAGCAGCCGCGGUAAUACGGAGGGGGCAAGCGUUGUUCGGAAUUAAAA
rnacentral:rRNA from 1 species